rnacentral:rRNA from 1 species
AGCGAACGCUGGCGGCAGGCCUAACACUUGCAAGUCGAACGAACCUUUCGGGGUUAGUGGCGGACGGGUGAGUAACACGUGGGAACGUGCCUUUAGGUUCGGAAUAACUCAGGGAAACUUGUGCUAAUACCGAAUGUGCCCUUCGGGGGAAAGAUUAAUCGCCUUUAGAGCGGCCCGCGUCUGAUUAGCUAGUUGGUUGAGGUAAUGGCUCACCAAGGCGACGAUCAGUAGCUGGUCUGAGAGGAUGAUCAGCCACAUUGGGACUGAGACACGGCCCAAACUCCUACGGGAGGCAGCAGUGGGGAAUCUUGCGCAAUGGGCGAAAGCCUGACGCAGCCAUGCCGCGUGAAUGAUGAAGGUCUUAGGAUUGUAAAAUUCUUUCACCGGGGACGAUAAUGACGGUACCCGGAGAAGAAGCCCCGGCUAACUUCGUG